GGGAGUGUGGGCUACCUACACUGGACUUGGUUUGACUUCAUCAGGCGUCAUGGUAUCCUCCUGCAGGCAUUCUUCCCUGGCACCCCACGGCUCGAGCAAGCACCUCCUGUGGCCCCUUACGUUUCUGCUUGUCCCAUAGCAGCCUGACUACUCUGGAAUGCCUUAGCUUCCACGGACUAGAAGCUCCCUGCGGCCAGGGUCAGGGGCUUGGCACACUGCAUCCCCAUCACCGCCCAGGAGAGAGUGUGUAGUCCAGAGCUGUUGCUUAGCGAAUAGGCUGACAGGUUGGUGAAGGAUGGAUUCUGACCACCUCAGGUGUAAGAGAUUGCAGAUUUCAUUUCCGCAAAAACUGGGACAAAUGAAACUUCUUUGCUCACAAGCCAUGUUUCUGGGUCCCCUCUCUUCCUCUGCUGCCUUAGAAAGUCCAGUGGUGACCUGAACUUCCUUCAUCCCUUGGCACUUCCAGGAGCCGCGUGAGCACGAAGCCGUCCCGGAGGUCCGAAUAGAGGUCGGCGAUGUGGCAGCCCACGCGGGCGAGAUGCGAGUUCACCCACUUGGUGAAGGUUUUCUUCUGCACGGCCUCCCGCUCAUCUGGAAGACAGCGCUGGUGAGCCUGGCCCCCAGGAGCUCUGACGCCCUACCUGCUGCUCCACAGCCUCCAGCAGCCUCCACCGCCCCCGCCAAACCCUGGCCAUGCCCAAGGCGUGGACAGCAUCUCCUCCAACCUGGGAGAUUCCCCCUGCCCACAGUGCCCACCUGGUGCCCUCGCCUCGUCCUCGAAUUCUCCUGAAAUAUCGCUUCCACAGGAGGCCGCCCUGUGUAUCACCCUAGCUGCAAACUGAGGGCCCAGUGUCUCUGCACUGUACAGGCAAUAAGCUAGCCGACGCCGGGCACCAUGAGGGUUUAAGGUGAGGUCAGGGGAUGCGGUCCCGGAAUUUCACCGGCUUCUGUGAGGACAGCAGUAGAGCAGAGAGGGCAACAGCAACAGCCAGAAGCCCAGGGAGGAAGGAAAUGGGGAAGAGACCCAGAGGAGAGAGGUGUGGCUCAACCCGGGCAGAAGACGUGGAAAGGGCCGAGAGGUCAUACUGGACAGUUGGAGAUUCAAAGCAAAGUGGCCUACAGUGUAGGAGUACGUGUCUGUAGUCCCAGCACUCAGGAGGCUUAGUGCUAGAUAGGGAGUUCAAGGCCAGGCUGAACUAUAUAGCAAGAGAUUGUCUAAAAAAAAAAAAAAAAAAAUCCCUUUUUGGUACCAGGGAUUGAAUUCACAAUCUUGUGAAUUGCCAGGCAGGGGUUUGUGACACUAAGCUAAAUCCCUAGCCUCCCCCCCCACCAAAUCCCCUUUUAAAGUAUAAAAUUCAGUGGGAUUUGUUGUGGUUGUUUAUGUGUUUGUUUGUUUUGACACAUCCUUGCCAUUAGCUCAUGCUGGCCUUGAACUCACAGUGAUCCUCCUGCCUCAUCAGCCUCCUGAGUACUGGGAUGACAGGUGUGUACCACCACAUCAGACCAGUGUUUUUUUUUUUAGCGUAUUAGAGUUUACAAGCAUCAGAGCAUUUGCACUGACCAAAAAAGAAACUCAUACUUAUUAGCAGUCAUUUCCCCCACAAUCAGGAAGCUACUUUCUGAUUGUGAACCUGCCUGUCAUGCAGAUUUCAUAGAAAUAGAAUCAUAUAAUAUAUAGCCUUGUACAUGCCCAGCUUCUUUUACACAGCAUAAUGUUUUGAAGAGUCAUCCAUGUUGUCACAAGGAUCAAUACUAUAUUCCUUUUUAUAGCCAAAUAAUAUUCUAUGGUGUGGAUAUUUGACACCUUAUCUCAGCAACUAAUGGACAGUUGGGGUCUUUCCACUUUUUAGUUAUUAUAAAUAGUGUCAUUAUGGGCACUUGGGUACAAGUUUUUUUUUUUGCACGCAUAAGAUUUCAGUGAUCUUGGGUAAAUUCCUACAUACCUGGUGAUGCCUAAAUCACCAAAAGUAUGAAACUUUGUAUAUUAAUUUUUUCUUUAUAUAUGUAUUAUAGAGUUUAAUUCAUAAAUCUGGCAUAGAGAAAAUGAUCAAAAACUACAAUAGAGCAAUUAUAACAAGAUAUUAUAAUAACAAUAAUUUAAAACGUAAGUUGUUUAAUUAAUGGAAUUUUUCUUGUAUUAUUUUUGGAUAACAGGUGACCAUAGGAAAUGAAACCUCAGAAAGUGAAAUUUCACCUAAGAGAGGCUACCAAAUACCUAGGAGUAGUUUCCAGGUCAUAUGGUAACUCUGUUUAACUUCUCAGUGAACUGCAAAACUAUUUUUCCAACUUCACUGAACCAUUUGCCUUUCCCACAAGCAAAGUACCAGGGUUCCGAUUCUGUAUCUUUGCCAGCUUAGUGUUGGCUAUGAAGUGCUAUUUCAUUAUGGUUUGCAUUUGUGCUUCUCUAAUAGCUAAUGUUGCUGAGCAUCUUUCAGUGUCAUUACUGACCAUUUAUCCUUCUUUGGAGAAAUGUCUAUUGCAAUCCUUUCCCCAUUUUAAACUUAUCUGGCUGGGCGUGGUGCUGCAUGCCUAUAAUCCCAGCACUGCAGAGGCUGAGGCGGGAGGACUUCCAUGAGUCUGAGGCCAGCCUGGGCUAUGUGGUGAGUUCAAAGCUAGCCUGGACUACAUAGCAAGAACCUGUCUCAAAAACAGAUAAACAAAUAAAUAAGUAAGUAAAAUUACCUCAUGUUUUAAAUCAUCUGUACUAUCUUUGCAACUCCCUAUGAAUUUAUGAUUAGCUCAUAAUUAAAAAUUGUGUUUUGUUUAAAACAUAAUUAAAAUUUAAAACAUAAUUAAAAUUUGUGUUUUGUUCUGUUAA